rnacentral:rRNA from 1 species
UCCGGGAGCGCGCAGACCCAGUAGGGUAAUGUUCACGCCAAUGGGAACUAAAUUGUCUCAAUCGGGACCCACCACCCGAUAGGAGGAAGAAAGGUCUUUCGGAUAUGUAAAGCUUUUGUGCCAGGAAAGAUCGUUCUUGGGAGAGUGAAGCUCUUAUGAGAGGGACCGGUUACCUGAGAAAGAAAGCGCCAGGCUUACUACCGUGCCGACAAGCGACGGUAAUGGGUAGGAGGGCAAACUGUGUUCCGGAAUUAUUGGGACGUAAAUGCGCGCCCAGGCGUUCAUUUAAGUCUGAUAUUAAUGCCGGGGCUCAGCUCCGGGUGGCACUGAAACUGGGUAGCUUGAGUGCAGAAGAGGAGAGUGGAAUUGCACGUGUAGCGGUGAAAUAGGUAGAGAUGUGGAGGAACACCAGGGCGAAGGCGACUCUCUGGGCUGUAACUGACGCUGAGGCGAGAAAGCGGGGGGUAGCAAACAGGAUUAGAUAGCUAGGUAGUCCACUCCGUAAACGAUGAAUGCUAGGUGUUAGGGGUUUCGAUAUCCUUGGUGCCGAAGUAAACACAUUAAGCAUUCCGCCUGAGGAGUACGGUAACAAGACUGAAACUCAAAGGAAUUGACGGGGAGCCGCACAAGCAGUGGAGUAUGUGGUUUAAUUCGAAGCAACGCGAAGAACCUUACCAGGUCUUGUCAUCCCUCUGACCGGUACAGAGAUAGGCCUUUUCUUCGGAACAGAGGACACAGGUGGUGCAUGGUUGUCGUCAGCUCGUGUCGUGAGAUGUUGGGUUAAGUCCCGCAACGAGCGCAACCCUUGAUCUUAGUUGCCAGCAUUUCGGAUGGGCACUCUAAGGUGACCGGCGGUGACAAACCGGAGGAAGGUGGGGAUGACGUCAAAUCAUCAUGCCCCUUAUGACCUGGGCUACACACGUACUACAAUGGCCAGUACAACGGGAAGCGAAGCCGCGAGGUGGAGCGAAUCCAAUCAAAGCUGGUCUCAGUUCGGAGUUCAGGCUGCAACUCGCCUGCAUUAAGUCGGAAUUGCUAGUAAUCGCGGAUCAGCAUGCCGCGGUGAAUACGUUCCCG